CCAGGCACAUUCGAAUUCACUUGAACAUUGGCAGUGAGACAACAAGGUCUGUAAGUUCGGCAAGGAAAGUUAAAAUCGUUUUUGAGAUUAGUGUAUGUUACAUUCUGUUAUUUUGUUAAGUUAACUGAAGGGUGUUCAAGUUUUCUGUAGUUAUUUAAAGUAUGCUUGAUUUUAAUGUGAUUCACAUCGUUUCGUAUUAUGUCAUCGCUUUUUUUCCUAUUAAACGUGGUAAUUCAGCUGUAGGAGUUGUAACUUCAUGAAACAAUCUCUGGAGAUUUGCUCAGGUAGUGCAUCUACCUGCCUCAUGCUUUGAAAGGAAAAUGUAGAGGGCUUCCGAUGUGUGGCGGAGUCUAUCGUUUUUCGUUUCCUAGUCAGCGACGUGUCCCACAGGAUUGUCUUUUUUGUUGGUGCUGGGAUGUUGGAUGGCAGGUGUUUGCGCGGCUUGAUUUCCUGGAUUUCAUUCUGUGGAGGUAUAUGUGACCUUGUGGUGGCUUUGCAGUUGAUGUGAUCGGUCGUCUUUCAGAUGUUAGUGCGCAGCUCGAUUUUACAAUGUAGACAUUUUUCAGCGUUACUGUACCGUAUGAUGCCGUGCUGCCGGAUUAUUAGUGAAGGGCAGGUUGCUAUGCGGUGCGCGUUGCAGCUAGCUUUGUCAAGGCGGAUCUUCUCAGAAUUCCCUAUUGGUCUUAACCAGUGAAUAUUUUUCAUCGAGAUGGUUAUCCUAGAAUUGUAAGAUGAGACUGAAGGAUUUUAGGAAAUGUACAACAAAGGUACAAAGGUUUUUCCGAGGUGUGUGCAGGUCUUCUGACGGAUUUCACAGUUAAGGUAACCAAGUAAACUACUUUAAAUGAACUUAUUUCCGGUGAUGAUCAUUUUUUCUGAUUCGCACCAUGUUGCUUUCUGAAGUCAAUCAAAAUAUUAGACAUGCAUGACUCUGAGGAAAGUUAUUUUUUUUGUAUUGAAUGAAGUCUUGAUUUCCAUUAAUCCAUGUGCUUUGAAACAUUCUUAUAGGUUCCAAUAAGAUGAGGUUGAUUUGGGGUUUCCGGUGAGAUUUCUGUAUUAUGUGAAGAUUGUUUUUGGACAACAGCCUGCUGGACUUCAGUAUUGCCUUUACCUAGGGUAUUGAUGCUGCAAAUAUCCUGGCGGCCGCGCAUCUUAAGGACUGAAAUAUUACUGUACAAUUGCAAACGAUAUAGUCUUCCUUUUACAGGCGAGAAACAGGCCGUCACAGUAAUUCAAGUAUUCAUCUUCUGAAAUUCGCUCAAUCCUUAAUCUGUCGUCCUGAGAUGCCGUGUUAUAGUGGAAAGUCAACGUACAGUUUCAGGUCAAUGCUUCGCAGCUUCAUCUAGCACUACCUUAUAGCGCGACAUGCAUUCAGUUCGGAGGCUGCUAUUCUUUCGUGGAACUUGUCUGAAUCGGUUUCUAGCUCAUUCUUGGAUAUCCUUUCAUUGUUGAAUAAAAAUUUGAAAUUCACUUAAUUUGUUAGUUAAUUUUUUGUAUCACAACUUUGUUUCUUAAAUACAAAUUUCAUGGAAUUUCUAAAGGACGUG